rnacentral:rRNA from 1 species
AUUGAACGCUGGCGGCAGGCCUAACACAUGCAAGUCGAGCGAGCGGCGGACGGGUGAGUAAUGUCUGGGAAACUGCCUGAUGGAGGGGGAUAACUACUUGAAACGGUAGCUAAUACUGCCUACCAUCAGAUGUUCCCAGAUAGGAUUAGCUAGUAGGUGGGGUAACGGCUCACCUAGGCGACGAUCCCUAGCUGGUCUGAGAGGAUGACCAGCCACACGGGAACUGAGACACGGUCCAGACUCCUACGGUAGGCAGCAGUGGGGAAUAUUGCACAAUGGGCGCAAGCCUGAUGCAGCCAUGCCGCGUGUGUGAAGAAGGCCUUCGGGUUGUAAAGCACUUUCAGCGGGGAGGCGUUACCCGCAGAAGAAGCACCGGCUAACUCCGUGCCAGCAGCCGCGGUAAUAC